AGUUCAAUUUUAACGGCAAUUGUUUGAAUCAUUAUAAUAGAAUAAAGCUAACUAAGAAGUAAGAAACCCAAUCAAAAGUCUUUCCGAUUCGAUCAGUGAUUAAAAGCGGACGUGGUCCCAAAAGUUUGUGGAAGUAUAGAAAGUUGAAAAGUGACUGUUAGCUGAUUGAAAAAGUUAUUAAUUAUUCGGAAAAUUAUUUUAAAAAAACGUGGAAAAAUAGUAGGCCCAGUGAGUGGAAACGAAGAUUUCCAAAGUGAGUUGGUAAAUCCGCCAUGAUGAUGAUGUAGUUUAAUUAGGAUUUGUGUCACUUUUCUAGAUCUUAGAAUAGAUUAAAGCUGUCGCCAAACCAGCUAAAUUCAGAAUCUGCUGCUCGAGGCUCAGGAAUCUAAAUCCUUCACGCGAAGGUGUUCCUGCCGGGUUCUAGAACCGGAGGUAGGUGUAGGAGGAUUCGACCAUUCCGGUUCCUCUGGGUGAAUCCAGAAGCCUUGGCGGUUUGUAGGCUUUAAGCCUCAUCGUCAGGCCAGUGGUUCA